AUGAAGGCAGCAUUAAAAACUAUCCUCCCACAUACUCUACAUAAGCUGUGUCAGUGGCAUAUCAUGAAGAAGUACAAAGACCACCUCGCCUUGCUGUAUAAGGUGCACGAGAAACUCAAGGAUGAACUCAAUGCGGUGCUGAACCACCCACUAAUGCCAUCAGAAUUUGAACGACCAUGGAAGAACCUCAACAGAUACAACUUGCAAGUCGACGAAGUGAUGAAUUCGCUGUGGGAUUAUAGGCACGAGUGGAUCUCGGCUUACUACAAGGAAAUUUUUUGUGCUCGGAUGACUUCCACACAGAGAAGCGAGAGCAUGAACCGCAUACUGAAGAAUUUUUUUGUCAAGGAGAAGCAUGAUCUCCAUCUGUUUGCUCAGCGGGUGGACAAGUGCAUUCAGACCAGGAAGGUCGUUGAGCAUGCAGAGACAAUAGAAAAUGAGUCAGAGGUAAAAACAACAACCAAGUUUGGGUUCGAAGUUCAGCUAUCAAAAGUGUAUACAAGGGUAGUGUUUACAGAUUUCAAAGAAACACUCUACCGUAGCACUGCAUUCAGAGCAGAAUGGUGCCCUGAGAACCCGACAAAGUAUCUCGUACACCACUACAACAGAUUGGAUGCAUUUGACUGGGCAAGGCAUAAUUUCGAAGUGGUCGCCGAUGAAAAGAAAGGUGUCUACGAAUGUGAGUGCAAACUCUGGACACACACAGGGCUCUUUUGCAUCCAUGUGUUAUGCAUGCUUUCUCAUUUGAGAGUACUCAAGAUUCCUGAGGUGUACAUCAUGAAAAGAUACACCCGUAACGCAAGAUCAGAUGCAACGUUUGACAGAAGAGACUACGAACAAACAGCACUAGAUGGAACCUCGCUUUUUUGUCGUAGAAAAUUGCUGACAGAAACAGCAAUGGACCUUGCAAACAGAGCGACAAGGUCCGACGCUGGGUGCCACAUUUCAAGAACCUGCCCCAAAAGAACAAGAUCAGAAAAUGAGGAAGAUGAAGAAGAUGAAAUGAAAGAAGAAGAUGGUGACACAACUGAAGAAGAAAUGGCUUAUGAAGAAGCACAUGGAGAAGAGGAGGAAGAAGAAGAGAGUGAAGAGGACAAAGAACGUGAAGAAACUGAAGAAACAGUGGCUUAUGAAGAAACAAAUGAUGAAGAUGAGGAAGAGGAAGAAGAGAGUGAAGAGAGUGAAGAGGACGAAGAACAUGAAGAAACAAUGCCAACAAGACCACCACAAGGGAAUCCUGUUGUACAAAAAAACCGAGGAUGA
rnacentral:rRNA from 1 species